rnacentral:rRNA from 1 species
UACAGAGGUCUCAAGUGUUGUUCGGAUUCAUUGGGCGUAAAGGGUGCGUAGGCGGCGCGGUAAGUCGGGUGUGAAAUCUCGGAGCUUAACUCCGAAACUGCAUUCGAUACUGCCGUGCUUGAGGACUGGAGAGGAGACUGGAAUUUACGGUGUAGCGGUGAAAUGCGUAGAGAUCAUGAGGAAGACCAGUGGCGAAGGCGGGUCUCUGGACAGUUCCUGACACUGAGACACGAAGGCCAGGGGAGCAAACGGG